rnacentral:misc_RNA from 1 species
UCUCCGUAGGUGAACCUGCGGAGGGAUCAUUACAGAGUUCAUGCCCUAACGGGUAGAUCUCCCACCCUAUGUUAUCAUUACUUUGUUGCUUUGGCGGGCCGUCAGGCCUUGGCUUGGCUUCCGGCUCUCGCUGGUAAGCGCCCGCCAGAGAACCCCAAACCCUGAAUAUCAGUGUCGUCUGAGUACUAUAUAAUAGUUAAAACUUUCAACAACGGAUCUCUUGGUUCUG